rnacentral:tRNA from 1 species
GGAGCUGUGGCUCAGUGGUAGAGUGCUUGCCUAGCAUGUGAAGCACUGGGUUUGAUUCUCAGCACUCCA